rnacentral:tRNA from 1 species
GUACCUUUAGUUCAAUGGUAGAACAAUUACAUAGUGUGAGAGGUGCAGGUUCGAGUCCUGUAAGGUAUG